rnacentral:rRNA from 1 species
CGAGGCGAACCGGGGAAACUGAAACAUCUCAGUACCCCGAGGAAAAGAAAUCAACCGAGAUUCCCCCAGUAGCGGCGAGCGAACGGGGAGCAGCCCAGAGUCAACAUCAAUAUUUACCACAGGAGAAGGGUCUGGAAAGGCCGGCAAUAAAGGGUGAUAGCCCCGUAUCUAAAGCGGUAAGUGUUGUGAACUCGAAGAGUAGGGCGGGACACGUGUUAUCCUGUCUGAAUAUGGGGGGACCAUCCUCCAAGGCUAAAUACUCCUGACUGACCGAUAGUGAACCAGUACCGUGAGGGAAAGGCGAAAAGAACCCCGGCGAGGGGAGUGAAAUAGAACCUAAAACCGUGUACGUACAAGCAGUAGGAGCACCCGAAAGGGUGUGACUGCGUACCUUUUGUAUAAUGGGUCAGCGACUUAUAUUCUGUAGCAAGGUUAACCGCCUAGGGGAGCCGUAGGGAAACCGAGUCUUAACUGGGCGUUAAGUUGCAGGGUAUAGACCCGAAACCCGGUGAUCUAGCCAU